GUCGUUCCCGACGAUCACUCGGUGGGGUUGCAUUUUUCUGGCUUCGGACGAGUGCACUUCCACCCUAGUAGAAACGUCGCGACCCGUUGGGUGCCGGUCAAAGGCCCGGGAUGGCAGCCCGUGUGUCCUGUGGGGGUUCCCACAUGCACGCGGACUCCUGGUGACCCGGCCGGCUGCCCGACGGUAUGACCAGAGGAGUCGAUCCGCUGAAUGGGAAACACUGUGGUUGUGUAGCGUCCGGUCCGGCGCCGACCCGUGCGGGGAUUGAGGUGCAAACCGGGGGUGCCCGUGCGAAGCCACGGCCCCGGCCCCGCUGCGUCGUCGGAUUGUCCGGUGUCCUCGGACUGGAUCGAUACUCCCGUCUGCGACGCCCA
rnacentral:rRNA from 1 species